UCUGCUCAUCAAACUGAGCAUUGUUUUAAUUUGCCAGGCCCCGGGCAUAUGCUGAGUGGUCGCGUCAUUAUUGUCUCUGCGCUGCGUGAGUUAUCACUGUAGCUCAUGACAAAGCACCGCAAAUUUACAGGUGAGGACUUUUGUGUGUUUAUAAAAGGCUGAACAGAGAAGAGGAGGAGAAGGAGGAGAAGAGGGAGAAGAAGAAGAAAAGAAGUGAGUGAGUGGCAACAGAGAAAACGAAGCUCUGUUCGACGUCACCUUGAAAGACGAUGGACCGGCUGGAUAAUACAUCAUCGCAUCAGGGAACGCGACAUGUCGCCGACAAGCCCAAGGAGAGUUUUCAAGUCUUUCGACCUUUGUGAAGUCUCACAGAAUAAGCGCAGGUGAUUUGAAGUGGAAAAGUAGGGCCGAGUUACAGGUAAACAGCACAAUUAGCCUGGGGGUAUUUCUUGUUUUGCUCCGGUUUGACCUUUUCGGUCAGUAGU